UGCUGGAGUGAUGGCUGAUGUUUAUAAGUCAGCCCCACCCCUGCAGGCCCCCAACGUCACCCAGAGAAGGAAAAAUCUGAGCCACGACAAAAUCAGCCACAAAUGGGCUGUCUGAACCAGCUGGGACUUGGGCUGCUCAAAACAGCGGGUAGCAGAGCAACACUUCCUGCAGCCAGCUUGCCUGCCUCCUUCACUGCCGCAGCCUCUGCAACUCCGCAGCCCAAACAGGCAGUCCGUGCCCCUGCCUCCGCCACCUCCACCAUGCUGGAUAUUUUCAUCUUAAUGUUUUUUGCCAUCAUCGGCCUGGUGAUCCUCUCCUACAUCAUCUACCUGCUCUAGGAGCCCCACCUGCCGUGCAGAGGAAAGAUGAAGCCUGGGAAGCCAGCCAUCCUGCCAAUCAAAACAUCUUCCAGCUCUCAGGCCUGGGUCAGCCAAGUGUCACCUUAUCCGCAGUGGCAGCCGCAGCUAUGCCUUCUGGAGAAAGAGUUAACCCUUUGCAAGCAACCUGCUUCCCAAGCAGCUGGAGAGAGGAAAGCGCCAAGAAGAGCAGCCAUUGGACGGUGCAGAUGUCAAGACUUAUAAAUGCCCUUCACAGAGCGUCUGAGCUGUAAUGCAUUUGAAGAGCAAAUACAAAGCAACAUGGCAGCAAGAUGGAACAGAGCGAGAGUGAGAGCGCAUUAUACUGAAACCUCAUUAUGGAGAAAUGUGUUGUUUCGUUUGCCAUGACAGUAUUAAGGAAAUGUAACGGUUCAUUGUUUUGUAGCUGCAUAGCUACCCUGAUCCUUGGCAAAAUAGUUGUUGUUUUUUAGUUUUAGAAAGUAUAAAUAUAUUUUUAAUUAAAAAAAAAACAGAAAAAAAAUUAAAAAGCUAAGAAAAUGAGAGCAUAAUCUGAUUGUCAUCAUAGUAUCUUAAGUGAGCACGUCACCUUGCUUUCGUUCUAACUGGCCACUCACUGCUUUUCAUGGGGCAUUACUAACAUGCAGCUGCUUCUGGGGUGGAGGGUGGCAACCAGCUAGCAUGCUUCAGGAAUGGGAGCAGGUAUUUCAGACAAGGACUGUAAAGGAAAAUCCUUAUGCAUAUGAAAGAUGUGAGGGUAACCGUCUUGUCCAGUUAAUCAAGACAGAUGGUUCUGUGUUUGAAAAAUGCUUUAAAACAUGUUUCUGCCACUAAACCAGUUGGGAAUGCGAGUGCCCAGUUUAUAUAGACAGGGCACCAACCAGAAGUCAGAUUAGCUUCACAAACCAUUAGAUAGUCAGCGACUCAUACGGUGAUCAUGUGCAGGGAGAAUCCUGGUUGGAAGGUGUAUGAUACUAUAGUAUGGGCCCAUCUGUUUUGAGGGUGGGCAUCCCCACAGCUCCAAAUAAAGCCAUAGUGAGUUAUGUGUCUAAACCUCCUACUGUACCCAGCCAGGAGUCAGAUCUAUGAGAGGGCAGAGCUUAAUUUACCACUACUUGGAGAGGUUUGAGCAAGGGUCUCUGGGACCUUUUGGGAAAUUUCCCUGUAGGCCAUUGUGAUCCUGAAUGAAACCAGGAUCAGACUCUGUAUUAUCCCUUUUGCUCAGCCCUUCAGUGUGUAGGACCAGGAGGGGUCUGGAAUAGUUAACUAGUGGGAAAGAGAACAGAGGCCCAAACACUAGCAUUAAGUUUUUAAAAAGUGGCCACUUUUGGUGCCCAUCUUGGACCAUUUGGACAGUCCAUAUUUGUGGCUAUUUCCACAAAAUUUGCCCCACUGCCAGUGUUUGAAUUAUGGUAAAAAUGCUGGUAGGCCCAUCCCUUUUGUGCAACUGUGAACAGUGCAAGCAUACCAUAUCUGCCUGAGCACUGCAGUCAUCAUAUUUAUUUCUUCCUCAUCAUCCAGAUUGCUAUCUGCAUGCUGGAUUAUAGCAGACACUUUUUAUUUUGGACAAAUAUAGGCAGUUUUCUGGAAUUAGAAAUGGAAUGAAAAUCAACAGCUUGAAAGUUUUAAUCAUCCACUAUUGUGUAACAAAUAUCACAUGUAAUGUUUAUUUCAGAUUGUAUUGUAUAAUGAAAACAAUCCUCCUAGAAGGUAAGAUGGCUGGUCUCCGGCAUUUAAAUCUUGCUGGUAAGAAAUAAAUCCCUGGCACAGAAGUUUUGUAAUGGAAAAAAUUGUGAUGCAUCCUUAACUCACAUGACACUAGUGUGAUUAGGAGGAAAUUUACUCUGAAUAGUAAUGUUUGUGGUUUAGAUAAGCACUUUUGGAAUACAAGUGGCAAGAGUUACUUGUUAUCUGUUAAUAAGACAUCUACAAAAAUAUUUACAUAAAGAAGGGCACGCUAAAAGUUCAGUAAUGCUGGAAUUAUGGUUAUCACUGCAAACUGAGUACUUGACAUAGUGCAAUUUCCUGUUAGUACAACAUUUCCUGAGGAAGAAGUGCAGUGUGUGUAGUUUUGCCUGUGGAUCCAAAUUGUUGUCCUCCCCCUGCAGUACAUCUGUUUUAGUCCAAAUUGUAUUAUACAGCUCACCAACUGCCAUGGUCCAACUGUCAGGGUUUAAAAAAGAGUGAGACCCAAAAUGAGGAACUGAACCCUUCUCUUACCCCUUCCAAAUAGCUGAAAUUGAAACUCUAAAUGUUAUGGGAAGAACUUCUUCAAUAUAAAUAAAAUUUUCAAUAACCUCAGUUUCAUGAGUCUGUAUAUUUGAU